rnacentral:rRNA from 1 species
UACGUAGGCAGCGAGCGUUGUUCGGAGUUACUGGGCGUAAAGGGUGUGUAGGCGGUUCUUUUAAGUUUGGUGUGAAAUCUCCCCGGCUCAACCGGGGAGGGUGCGCCGAAUACUGAGGGACUAGAGUGCGGGAGAGGAAAGUGGAAUUCCUGGUGUAGCGGUGAAAUGCGUAGAUAUCAGGAGGAACACCGGUGGUGUAGACGGCUUCUGGACCGUAACUGACGCUGAGACACGAAAGCGUGGGUAGCAAACAGG